rnacentral:ncRNA from 1 species
AGUGCCUGUCACACUAUGGGCUGGCCAUGCCCGAAGUUGUUUCCUUAACCACAAGGACAGGGAUGUAGAAGGUAGGGCUAGUGACUGGAGUGAAGUCAUACCAAGGUAGCCAUACUAGAAGGUGCGGCUG